rnacentral:snRNA from 12 species
AUCUUUGCACAGUGGCAGUAUCAUAGCCAAUGAGGUUUAUCUGAGGCGCGAUUGUUGCUAAUUGAAAAACCCGAGCUUGUAAGGAAACACAGAACGAUUCCUUCCCAGAUCCAGGGCCUUUAACAUGCUUUCUUUCACUGCUUCCCGACCAACAUUUUCUUUUUUUUUUUUUUAAU